GGGUGAGUAACACGUGAGCAACCUGCCCCAGACUUCGGGAUAAGCCUUGGAAACGAGGUCUAAUACUGGAUAUGAGGUCACAUCGCAUGGUGUGGUCUGGAAAGAUUUAUCGGUCUGGGAUGGGCUCGCGGCCUAUCAGCUUGUUGGUGGGGUAGUGGCCUACCAAGGCGACGACGGGUAGCCGGCCUGAGAGGGCGACCGGCCACACUGGGACUGAGACACGGCCCAGACUCCUACGGGAGGCAGCAGUGGGGAAUAUUGCACAAUGGGCGCAAGCCUGAUGCAGCGACGCCGCGUGAGGGAUGAAGGCCUUCGGGUUGUAAACCUCUUUCAGCAGGGAAGAAGCGCAAGUGACGGUACCUGCAGAAGAAGCGCCGGCUAACUACGUGCCAGCAGCCGCGGUAAUACGUAGGGCGCAAGCGUUGUCCGGAAUUAUUGGGCGUAAAGAGCUCGUAGGCGGUCUGUCGCGUCUGGUGUGAAAACUCAAGGCUCAACCUUGAGCUUGCAUCGGGUACGGGCAGACUAGAGUGCGGUAGGGGAGACUGGAAUUCCUGGUGUAGCGGUGGAAUGCGCAGAUAUCAGGAGGAACACCGAUGGCGAAGGCAGGUCUCUGGGCCGCAACUGACGCUGAGGAGCGAAAGCAUGGGGAGCGAACAGGAUUAGAUACCCUGGUAGUCCAUGCCGUAAACGUUGGGCACUAGGUGUGGGGCUCAUUCCACGAGUUCCGUGCCGCAGCAAACGCAUUAAGUGCCCCGCCUGGGGAGUACGGCCGCAAGGCUAAAACUCAAAGGAAUUGACGGGGGCCCGCACAAGCGGCGGAGCAUGCGGAUUAAUUCGAUGCAACGCGAAGAACCUUACCAAGGCUUGACAUACACCGGAAACUUCCAGAGAUGGUUGCCCCGCAAGGUCGGUGUACAGGUGGUGCAUGGUUGUCGUCAGCUCGUGUCGUGAGAUGUUGGGUUAAGUCCCGCAACGAGCGCAACCCUCGUCCUAUGUUGCCAGCACGUGAUGGUGGGGACUCAUAGGAGACUGCCGGGGUCAACUCGGAGGAAGGUGGGGAUGACGUCAAAUCAUCAUGCCCCUUAUGUCUUGGGCUUCACGCAUGCUACAAUGGCCGGUACAAAGGGCUGCGAUACCGUAAGGUGGAGCGAAUCCCAAAAAGCCGGUCUCAGUUCGGAUUGGGGUCUGCAACUCGACCCCAUGAAGUCGGAGUCGCUAGUAAUCGCAGAUCAGCAACGCUGCGGUGAAUACGUUCCCGGGCCUUGUACACACCGCCCGUCAAGUCACGAAAGUCGGUA
rnacentral:rRNA from 1 species